GAGAGAGAAAAUUUUCUGACACAGAAAACUAAUGAAAUUGGCCAAGGGUAGAAUUGGAAGCAAAAAAGUCUGAAACCCUUUUCAUUCUGCAGGCCAAAAUUUAAAAAAAAAAAAAACAAAAAAACGACCCAAUUGAAACUUGACACCUGUCAAUGUCAAAUGUGUGUCAAAAAUUGGAUGUCAAAAUAACCGAACCCACUUAUAUAUU
rnacentral:lncRNA from 1 species